CAAUAUGGCGGCAUAAUACCAAGACUCUGUCCCUUCUGGGCAAUAACCAGUUGUGAGACAUGCCAUCAUUCACAUACUGUAUUGGAAACUUCCUUCAUAUAUUUAGAACCUUGAGAUGUGGAGCUGGAGUCUGAUUGCAGGAAUAUAGCACUUCUUUGAAUAUAUGACCAUUCCAAGGAAACAGCCACAUGGAGUUUGUUAAAG